rnacentral:rRNA from 1 species
AGAGUUUGAUCAUGGCUCAGAUUGAACGCUGGCGGCAUGCUUUACACAUGCAAGUCGAACGGUAACAGGCCUUCGGGUGCUGACGAGUGGCGAACGGGUGAGUAAUGCAUCGGAACGUGCCCAAUCGUGGGGGAUAACGUAGCGAAAGUUACGCUAAUACCGCAUAAGCCCUGAGGGGGAAAGUGGGGGACCGCAAGGCCUCACGCGAAUGGAGCGGCCGAUGUCAGAUUAGCUAGUUGGUGGGGUAAAGGCUCACCAAGGCGACGAUCUGUAGCGGGUCUGAGAGGAUGAUCCGCCACACUGGGACUGAGACACGGCCCAGACUCCUACGGGAGGCAGCAGUGGGGAAUUUUGGACAAUGGGCGCAAGCCUGAUCCAGCCAUGCCGCGUGCGGGACGAAGGCCUUCGGGUUGUAAACCGCUUUCAGCCGGAAAGAAAUCGCUGUUUUUAAUACGGACAGUGGAUGACGGUACCGGAAGAAGAAGCACCGGCUAACUACGUGCCAGCAGCCGCGGUAAUACGUAGGGUGCGAGCGUUAAUCGGAAUUACUGGGCGUAAAGCGUGCGCAGGCGGUUUUGUAAGCCAGACGUGAAAUCCCCGGGCUUAACCUGGGAACUGCGUUUGGAACUGCAAGACUAGAGUGUGUCAGAGGGAGGUGGAAUUCCACGUGUAGCAGUGAAAUGCGUAGAUAUGUGGAGGAACACCGAUGGCGAAGGCAGCCUCCUGGGAUAACACUGACGCUCAUGCACGAAAGCGUGGGGAGCAAACAGGAUUAGACACCCUGGUAGUCCACGCCCUAAACGAUGUCAACUGGCUGUUGGGAGAGAAAUCUUUCAGUAGCGAAGCUAACGCGUGAAGUUGACCGCCUGGGGAGUACGGCCGCAAGGUUGAAACUUAAAUGAAUUGACGG